rnacentral:tRNA from 1 species
GCCGGGGUGGCGGAACUGGCAGACGCUCGGGACUUAAAAUCCCGUGACCGCAAGGUCGUGUGGGUCCGAUUCCCACCCCCGGCACCA